AUGGCGAUGGUCACGGCUGACGCCUCCGCCGCCGCCGACGCCGCCACGAAGCAGCCAGAAGCCGACAAGGAUUACAGCUCCUACAACGGCGCCUCCACCGCGGGUGUGGGCGGAGGGGCCCGCCGCGGCGGCGGCGGCGUUGUGGAAUCUGUGGUGGCGCGGUGGAAGCGGGAGGACAUGCUCGACAAGUGCCCCCUCGCGCUGCACGCCGCCGCCGCCGCCUUCGCCUUCGUCGCGCUCGUGCUCGUCGCCUCCAACCAGCACGGCGACUGGAUGCAGUUCGACCGCUACCAGGAGUACAUAUACCUGCUGGCGAUCGCGGCGCUGGCCUUCGCCUACUCGCUGGCGCAGGCGCUGCGGCACGCGCACCGGAUGCGCAGCGGCGCCGACCCCAUCUCCGCGCCGUCCGCGAGGCUUUUCGAUUUCAUUGCUGACCAGGUAGUCGCAUACUUGUUGAUGUCUGCUCUAUCAGCGGCUAUUCCUAUCACGAACCGCAUGAGAACAGCUGUGAUCAACAACUUCACUGACGCGACCGCUGCUGCGAUCAGCAUGGCCUUCCUUGCAUUUGUUGCCCUCGCCUUGUCAGCCACGGUUUCGGGCUACAAGCUCUCCAGACAAAUGUACAUGUGA
rnacentral:rRNA from 1 species